GUUUUUUUGUGUUGAAUUUUGGGCUAUUGCGGUAGAGUUUGAUUGGGUUUUUUGGAUUGCAUGGGGUUGCUGAUGUGUGUCUAUGGUGUUUUCAGUGUGUUUGUCAUUCCGGCUUGUUGGUUUAUCAAAAUUUGAUGAAAUUUUAGGUUGUUGAGGAACAGUGGUUGGGUUAGCUGCUUUAGGUACUGUUUUGUUGGUGAGGUUUUCAAUUGAUUCAUCGACAUCUGCUUCCUCUCUGUCGGUUGUGGUGUUGUUCGGAGUUUUUAGUCGUUAUAGGUAUGUUUGUAGGUGGUGGAGUGAUGCUAAUAGGAUUGUGUAGGUGUGCUGUGGAUUUCUCAUUGUUUGGAUUUGGUAGGGCAGGUGAGUGUGUAGGGGUAGGGACUUUGGAUAACAUUAAGUUAAGAGAGAGAAGAGAGCUUUUGGUAAAACGUUUGGGACUUGAUUAGACAACUUUUUACCUUCAACUCAUAAAAUACAUAUUUCUGCUUUUAUUAAAAAUCCUGGGCAAUAGUUCAUUAACUCCACAUCAAUUAACAAUGAAUUUUAACAAAAAAAAAACUACAACAACACAACUCAAAAUAUUCUGUACCAAACCAAAGUCCGAUUAUAGUUAGUGUACAACAUUCACUUUUAAACCCAUUUCUUGCAAAAUCCAUUAUCAAGGUCAUGCUUAUUUCAAAUCCCCAUUGAUUCCCACGACUCUGUAUUUUUUUAAUAGUCAAACCUCUCCCACAACUCACUUUCUAACUCAAACUAAUUUCUCAUUAUAACUCACAAACUUGAUGAAAGUCAAGUGAACCCGAGACAUAAGGCAUCAAUGAUAGAGAUAAAAAUAACAAAAUGAAUUAAAGAAAUAAUAGUGAAAGAUUGAUGUUGGACCUUCAAUUGAACAAAAAUGCCUACUAUUAAACAACGAAAACUCUAACAGAAAUCCCUCGCCACACACGUCUUGACAAAAAAAGAAUUUUUUACACUAUUUUAACAUAUUCAACUAUUAGAGGCUGAAUUAAAUUUAUGAAAUUAUUUUUUACAAACUAAAUGACAUACUUCCCACUCCAGAAUAGCCUAAAAUGAGUCAAAAAGAUUAUGACAAACUAAUCCUACAAGCAGUCAAAUAUUCUUCAGACAUGGAAUAAACACUUUAUUUAUUCACAUAAGGAUGUUUAGCAGAAAGUUGUAGAACUACUCAGACAUAAAGUAACGAUUCAUGCUUUUAUUUCUUUAACAAUAAACUACAUUCCGAGCUUGAAAAGUUACCUAGAUUGCAGAUUUGAACACAAGAAAACAGUAAUCACUUCGUCUGAACUCAACGGCUAUCAAAUACAGCUUAAAACCAGCAACAAUAGCAGUGAAAAGGACCAAUGAAACAACCUAGAAUAACCUCGAUACUCAACGACUUUUAAAGAAGAAGGAAACAACAAACUAACUUCAAACUUUUCGUAUUUUUUGGAAGGUUUUGCUCUUUUCUGGAAAAUAUUCAAAGGUGAAAAGCUGCUGAAAUUUUUAUCUUCAGCUCUCUUUUUUCUGAUCUCCUCCUAAGAAUGAAAAAAAUGACCCCUCUUAUAGUAGUAGAAGGCUUUAAUAUUAGGUUUAAGUCAACUAAAAUUUUGUCCAAAGAGAGGGGGAAAUAACAGUCCUUUCUACCAAAUCUGCAGCCAAACACAUGCUCCAAACACUAAAAGCAACCAACCAUGUACUAUACUAUCAUAAAUUCACCUUCUACCUUUCACAAAAUAAUAUCAAACUACUCUAGUUGAUUCAAAUCAGUAUAAAACAGAAAUUCCAGCAUUCAAUUAUCCAAAAAUAACCUAUAUCGAUGCAAUCAAUUAGAGACAACAAAUCGAUGAUUAAGUGAAAACACAUUUUAAAAGUGAAGUAACUAAUUGAGCAACGACGUAAUCUGGAUCAACUUAAACACAAUAGAAAAAUAAAAUAAAACUUAAUGCUAAACUAAAAUCUAAGAAAGUAGAAAAAUUAAGAAUAGGGUAGAAGAUUAGGAUUUUACCAUGAACUCGAGUGCCCGGGCAAUGGCAAAACAAUGAUGAUAGGUAGUGGUUCGAGCUCGGGCAUGCUUUUAUUAUUGAUAUACACCAAAACCAUAAAUUUUGGUGAAUAAAUUUUGGUGAAUCGGAAAAUGGUUUUGGUAUUACCAACAAUAGAAACCUAAACUAGGCCAGAGGCAAAAAUGAGAGGCAGUGACGUUUUGGGUGGUUCUUAGGGUGGCAUCGGCUAUGUAGAGCGAUCAAUGGUGGCCGCUAGUCGGCAGCUUCGCGGAAAUUCAAGUCAUCAGAGAUCGGGUUUAAACCAAUGCCAAAUGAUAGCCCUUAUCGAUCUCUUUACGUCUAUGUAUGUGUUGGGCGAAGAGGAUGACUCAAUCCUUAUGAAUUUGAGGAAAGAGGGAAGGCUAAUAUUUCAAUUUUUGUAAGAUUUAUCGAUUUUGAGAGGGACUUUGAGGAUUUGGGGUCAGGCUAUGAAAAGGAGGAAGUGAGGGGAAAAAGAUGGUGUAAGUUUGAUGGAGUUUGGUAGUGGCUUGCUGGUGACGCCGCUUCGGCGGAAGUGGUGGCGGCUAAGAGAGGGAGAAGAGAGAAGAGAGAGAUGAGGGGAGACUCUAGGGCUUG
rnacentral:lncRNA from 1 species